rnacentral:rRNA from 1 species
GACGAACGCUGGCGGCGUGCUUAACACAUGCAAGUCGAACGGAAAGGCCCUGCUUUUGUGGGGUGCUCGAGUGGCGAACGGGUGAGUAACACGUGAGUAACCUGCCCUUGACUUUGGGAUAAAUUCAGGAAACUGGGGCUAAUACCCGAUAGGAGCUCCUGCUGCAUGGUGGGGGGUGGAAAGUUUCGGCGGUUGGGGAUGGACUCGCGGCUUAUCAGCUUGUUGGUGGGGUAGUGGCUUACCAAGGCUUUGACGGGUAGCCGGCCUGAGAGGGUGACCGGCCACAUUGGGACUGGGAUACGGCCCAGACUCCUACGGGAGGCAGCAGUGGGGAAUAUUGCACAAUGGGCGGAAGCCUGAUGCAGCAACGCCGCGUGCGGGAUGACGGCCUUCGGGUUGUAAACCGCUUUCGCCUGUGACGAAGCGUGAGUGACGGUAAUGGGUAAAGAAGCACCGGCUAACUACGUG